rnacentral:misc_RNA from 1 species
GAUGAAGAACGUAGCGAAAUGCGAUAAGUAGUGUGAAUUGCAGAAUUCAGUGAAUCAUCGAAUCUUUGAACGCACAUUGCGCCCCUUGGUAUUCCAUGGGGCAUGCCUGUUCGAGCGUCAUUUGUACCUUCAAGCUUUGCUCGGUGUUGGGUGUUUGUCUCGCCUUUGCGUGUAGACUCGCCUUAAAAUAAUUGGCAGCCGGCGUAUUGAUUUCGGAGCGCAGUACAUCUCGCGCUUUGCACUCAUAACGACAGCGUCCAAAAGUACAUUUUACACUCUUGACCUCGGAUCAGGUAGGGAUACCCGCUGAACUUAAGCAUAUCAAUAAGCGGAGGA